rnacentral:rRNA from 1 species
AGCGCAGGCGGAUAGGUCAGUCUAAAGUGGAAUCCCGGGGCUCAACCUCGGAACUGCUUCGGAUACUGCCUGUCUUGAGUUCGUGAGAGGAAAGCGGAAUUCAGGGUGUAGCGGUGAAAUGCUUAGAUAUCCUGAGGAACACCAAUGGCGAAGGCAGCUUUUCUGGCGCGAUACUGACGCUGAGGCUCGAAAGCGGUGGGGAGGCGGAACG